UGGGGAAUAUUGGACAAUGGGCGCAAGCCUGAUCCAGCCAUGCCGCGUGAGUGAUGAAGGCCCUAGGGUUGUAAAGCUCUUUUGUGCGGGAAGAUAAUGACGGUACCGCAAGAAUAAGCCCCGGCUAACUUCGUGCCAGCAGCCGCGGUAAUACGAAGGGGGCUAGCGUUGCUCGGAAUCACUGGGCGUAAAGGGUGCGUAGGCGGGUCUUUAAGUCAGAGGUGAAAUCCUGGAGCUCAACUCCAGAACUGCCUUUGAUACUGAGGAUCUUGAGUUCGGGAGAGGUGAGUGGAACUGCGAGUGUAGAGGUGAAAUUCGUAGAUAUUCGCAAGAACACCAGUGGCGAAGGCGGCUCACUGGCCCGAUACUGACGCUGAGGCACGAAAGCGUGGGGAGCAAACAGGAUUAGAUACCCACGUAGUCCCUGAGCGGGCUGGCAAGGCGCAU
rnacentral:rRNA from 1 species